GUAAGGAGAGAGCUUAGAGAAGUUUGAUGUGGUAAAUAAAGCUGGAUUGAAAGCUUCUGCUAGAUGGGUGAGUUCUCUUCCCCAGUGCUUGGAAUCUAAAGAUUAAAGACCUCUAUGAUAGGAGACCCCCCACCACCUCAAAAUCUGUGAGAGCAGGAAAGAGAAGACCUCCUUCUACCACAGUUCACUCUGGAAGCAGAAUCAGGAAGAAAGCAAGGAGGUGGCACUAGAAGAAAGAUGCUGAAUAAAUGUACUUCAGCUUCCAUCAAGGAUGGUCUCUUGAAGAUAGUGAAGGUACUAUCACUGUAGAAGACAAAAGAAGUCAGUGUUGCAAGCUUUGCUUUGCACCUAGCGGAAAUUAAAGGCCCUGUUGGCAAUCUACCUCCCAGCUGCCUUUCUACUCCAGACAGGAUGAACCCUUUGCCCACCCCACACCUGGUGUGGAGUACAUUCUCCAUUGAGGAGCAGAGCCAAGUUCCACCCACUCUGUGUCUUACGUGUCUUGCUCUCCUCUCCCACCUUGGGCAAUAUGGGUACCUGGUGCUGGGGCUAAGGACACCCUGCACCCCAGGCAUUAUCUGGUUUUAGCUGAGGUUCUCAUGUUCCACUGUGUUCUGCUUUGUGUAAAAUUAUAGGAGGGUGCACAUUUUUAGCUCAGACAUAACUGGGCCUCCUUUUGUUUGGCAUCUGAAUCCCUUUGUGUACUCAGUUAAGGUCACUUGGCUAGCUCCUUAUUGCCCACUUGAAUCAAGU